GUGCCAGCAGCCGCGGUAAGACAGAAGGUGCAAGCGUUACUCGGAAUUACUGGGCGUAAAGCGUCUGCAGGUGUCUAGUCACGUCUGGUGUGAAAUCUCAGGGCUUAACCCUGAACCCACAUUGGAAACGAAUUAGAUCGAGUCACUCAGAGGCAUCUGGAAUGUCGUGUGUAGGGGUAAAAUCCGUAGAUACACGAUGGAACGCCAAAAGCGAAAGCAGGAUGCUGGGGGUGUACUGACACUCAGAGACGAAAGCGUGGGGAGCAAAGGGGAUUAGAUACCCCCGUAGUCC
rnacentral:rRNA from 1 species